AUUAUCUGUCUCUGAAGAUGUAUCUAGUGGAGAGCAAAGGUGGAGCCAUAGUAUGCAUGCUAUUUUCUCUGUUUUUCUUAGGCACAUGGCCUGCUAUUAUGACUCUGCUAGAAAGACGAGGUCGACUUCCUCAGCAUACUUACCUUGAUUAUUCCAUCACCAAUCUCUUGGCCGCUGUAAUUAUAGCUUUCUCUUUUGGUGAGAUUGGCAAGAGCACACCUGAG
rnacentral:misc_RNA from 1 species